GAGUUUGAUCCUGGCUCAGAUUGAACGCUGGCGGAUGCCUUACACAUGCAAGUCGAACGGCAGACGGGUGCUUGCACCUGGUGGCGAGUGGCGAACGGGUGAGUAAUACAUCGGAACAUGUCCUGUAGUGGGGGAUAGCCCGGCGAAAGCCGGAUUAAUACCGCAUACGAUCUACGGAUGAAAGCGGGGGACCUUCGGGCCUCGCGCUAUAGGGUUGGCCGAUGGCUGAUUAGCUAGUUGGUGGGGUAAAGGCCUACCAAGGCGACGAUCAGUAGCUGGUCUGAGAGGACGACCAGCCACACUGGGACUGAGACACGGCCCAGACUCCUACGGGAGGCAGCAGUGGGGAAUUUUGGACAAUGGGCGAAAGCCUGAUCCAGCAAUGCCGCGUGUGUGAAGAAGGCCUUCGGGUUGUAAAGCACUUUUGUCCGGAAAGAAAUCCUUGGUUCUAAUAUAGCCGGGGGAUGACGGUACCGGAAGAAUAAGCACCGGCUAACUACGUGCCAGCAGCCCGCGGUAAUACGUAGGUGCGAGCGUUAAUCGGAAUUACUGGGCGUAAAGCGUGCGCAGCGGUUUGCUAAGACCGAUGUGAAAUCCCCGGCUCAACCUGGGAACUGCAUUGGUGACUGGCAGGCUAAAGUAUGGCAAAGGGGGUAGAAUUCCACGUGUAGCAGUG
rnacentral:rRNA from 1 species